rnacentral:rRNA from 1 species
CCUACGGGAGGCAGCAGUGAGGAAUAUUGGUCAAUGGACGCAAGUCUGAACCAGCCAUGCCGCGUGCAGGAGGACGGCGCAAUGAGUUGCAGACUGCUUUUGUAGGAGGACAAACGCAGAGACGCGUAUCUGUCUGAAAGUAUCGUGCGAAAAAGCAUCGGCUAACUCCGUGCCAGCAGCCGCGGUAAUACGGAGGAUUCGAGCGUUAUCCGGAUUUAUUGGGUUUAAAGGGUGCGUAGGCGGGCCGUUUAGUACGCGGUGAAAUCCCGGGGCUCAACUUCGGAAGUGCCUCUGAUACUGGUCGGCUAGAGAGUAGUUGCGGUAGGCGGAAUGUAUGGUGUAGCGGUGAAAUGCUUAGAGAUCGUGCAGAACCCCGAUUGCGAAGGCAGCUUACCAUGCUACUUCUGACGUUGAGGCACGAAAGCGUGGGGAGCGAACAGGAUUAGAUACCCUGGUAGUC